GACGAACGCUGGCGGCGUGCUUAACACAUGCAAGUCGAACGGAAAGGCCCUGCUUGCAGGGUACUCGAGUGGCGAACGGGUGAGUAACACGUGGGUGAUCUGCCCUGCACUUCGGGAUAAGCCUGGGAAACUGGGUCUAAUACCGGAUAGGAGCCAUUUUUAGUGUGAUGGUUGGAAAGUUUUUUCGGUGUAGGAUGAGCUCGCGGCCUAUCAGCUUGUUGGUGGGGUAAUGGCCUACCAAGGCGGCGACGGGUAGCCGGCCUGAGAGGGUGGACGGCCACAUUGGGACUGAGAUACGGCCCAGACUCCUACGUGAGGCAGCAGUGGCUAAUAUUGCACAAUGGGCGCAAGCCUGAUGCAGCGACUCCGCGUGGGGGAUGACGGCCUUCGGGUUGUAAACUCCUUUCGCUAGGGACGAAGCUUUUUGUGACGGUACCUAGAUAAGAAGCACCGGCUAACUACGUG
rnacentral:rRNA from 1 species